CGGGGUGAGUAACACGUAGGUAACCUGCCCUGCAGUGGGGGAUACCCAGUCGAAAGAUUGGCUAAUACCGCAUUCGCUCGAGAGUUGAAAUACUUUCGAGGAAAGAUUUAUCGCUGUAGGAGGGGCCUGGGUCCGAUUAGCUAGUUGGUGAGGUAAGAGCUUACCAAGGCGUCGAUCGGUAGCUGGUCUGAGAGGACGAUCAGCCACACUGGGAUUGAGAACGGCCCAG
rnacentral:rRNA from 1 species